rnacentral:rRNA from 1 species
GACGAACGCUGGCGGCGUGCCUAAUACAUGCAAGUUGAGCGCUGAAGGUUGGUACUUGUACCGACUGGAUGAGCAGCGAACGGGUGAGUAACGCGUGGGGAAUCUGCCUUUGAGCGGGGGACAACAUUUGGAAACGAAUGCUAAUACCGCAUAAAAACUUUAAACACAAGUUUUAAGUUUGAAAGAUGCAAUUGCAUCACUCAAAGAUGAUCCCGCGUUGUAUUAGCUAGUUGGUGAGGUAAAGGCUCACCAAGGCGAUGAUACAUAGCCGUCCUGAGAGGGUGAUCGGCCCCAUUGGGACUGGGACACGGCCCAAACUCCUACGGGAGGCAGCAGUAGGGAAUCUUCGGCAAUGGACGAAAGUCUGACCGAGCAACGCCGCGUGAGUGAAGAAGGUUUUCGGAUCGUAAAACUCUGUUGGUAGAGAAGAACGUUGGUGAGAGUGGAAAGCUCAUCAAGUGACGGUAACUACCCAGAAAGGGACGGCUAACUACGUG